rnacentral:rRNA from 1 species
UUAAAAAGCUCGUAGUUGGAUUUCUGUGGGGACGGAGCGGCCGGCCGCUACUAGCGGUUCGAGCUAGCGCUUUCCCUACAUCCUGCCGCGAACCGCGCUACCAUUAGUUUGGUGGCGCCGGGAUCGCU